GCCCAGGUGGCGAAAUUGGUAGACGCAAGGGACUUAAAAUCCCUCGGUGGCAACACCGUGCCGGUUCGAUUCCGGCCCUGGGCA
rfam:Thiomicrospira crunogena XCL-2, complete genome.